rnacentral:lncRNA from 1 species
UCCUGCACGUGUAUCCCAGAACUUAAAGUAAAAUUAAAAAUAAAUAAAUAAAUAAAUAACAAGAUCCUGAAGAGUGGCUAAUUUACCAAGCUGUGUAUCAGUUCAUGGAUUCCUCUCUGGGCAGCCAGAGUCCCUCCUUAGGUGAUAACAUGAACACCUAACAUUGGCAUAUGCCCAAGUAUUUGAAACUGCGAGUGGGGAUUAUAUGGAAAACUGUCUGAAGUGCCUAAUAAGGGUUUAUAGUACACAAUCUUCCCUCAAUUAAUGGGUAGCAUUUGUCUCUCUUCUAAAACACCAUAAAGUCUUUGAACCAGCAGCUGGAAACCAUAAUUUGGGAAGGGAUGCCUAACAUUCUAAGGAGACUGCAUUGCUGGGCUAAUUUUGAUUGUAUAAGAACCUACAACAGUCCAAUUCCCAGAGUCUGUGGACCGAAAUAAAUUCAGCAGGAAACUGUAGUCUUACUGAGUGAUAAUAUGAUUUGACACCCAAGUAAUAGAAACAUGCAUUGGAGGACAGAAGAAAUGUCAGCACCAGCCCUUUUCCACUUGUAAAACUCCUCAUUCUUCUUCAAGAUGCAGCCCAAAUGCAACCUCCUCUCUGAAGCUUUCCUGAACUCCCUUAGGCUGAGUUACUCAGGCCCUCCUGUGUCCUGUAGCCCCUUCUCUUGCUCAUGUAAUUAUGUUUCUAUGUCUGUGACCGCCAUUAGAUUUUAGCUCCUCCUGAAUAACAGUUUCUUAGUGACUUUUAUAUACUCUGCAAACAGCACACUGCUUGGCACGUAGUAGAUGCUCACAAAAUAUUUGUUGUUGAAUUAAUGCAGUGGGUCUCGAUUUCCCUCCUUUUCUUCCCUAAGCCUGGAGCUAAGGCAGGUGAACCUUCAGAGUCCUUUGAGGGGCAGAGAGAAGUCAAGUCAAACCUGGGGGAAGGUGGCCGCCUCUGCUUCCGUGGCUCCCUCAAGAACAUGCUUGUGGAACCUUGCACCGUGAGGACUGGAAGGCACCUCAGAGUAUCUAGAGAGCUAGGAGAUGUCCUUGGGCAAGAUACUGUGAUACCAAAUGUUAUUCAUUUAACAAACCUUUGUCAAGGGUCAACACAUGCCAGGCCAUAAAGAAGCUACAGUUCCUAUCCUUACAAAUCAUACAGGGUGAGGCAGAGACAGACCUGUACACAGGUAUAAUAGGCACACAGUACUGUGUGACAAGUGCUCGGACAGGAGGGAGCACAGGAAAGGACACUGAAGAACAGACCUUGAAUAUCUCGCAGGAGAGUCCAUGUCAAAGCCAAGAGCCCACAGCGGAGCGAAGUUGCCUUGGAGGAGGAAGCGUCACAGUUCUCUGUGACAGAACAAGAGGACUGCCCCGCCCCUUUCUCAGAAGGGGCAUCAUAGGAAGCAGAACUGGCUAGAGCAUCUCCACCAUCUUCCUUCAAGCACGUGGACCGACACCCAGGCCUCCUGGUGUCCUGACACUGCAGACUCCUGGAAUAUACCUCCACCAGCAGGCAGGAAUCUGUCCUAUUCCCAGCAACCACUAGAGGCACUGCCUGACCCUACUGCGGCCACAAGCAGAGGGACCCCAGGAUUCUCAAAUCUGUUACCUUGUCUCACCUCCCCUAGGAAGCAGAAGAGUGCUAUGAAAAUCUUUAGCUGCUGAUCACAGCUAUAAACGAGAUGAGGAGGGUCCCUGUCCUCUUGGUGUUUCCAGUCUCCCAAAGAAGACAGACAUGAAACAAUGAUGGUUACAGUUCAAGAUGGAGGAUUCUCCCUUUUGGAUAAUGAAAGAACUAAGUUUUGGCUUCUAACAACCAGAAGAGUCUCCCUGUGGAGGCAGGAGAGAACUGCAGCUGGGCUGCCCCUUUGUGAGGCUCCUCAGAAGUUUCCUGACUGAAAGGUCCAAUACCAAGCUGCCCAGUACAAAACUGGUCUCCUGGCAACUAUAGCUGAAUCCACCAUCGCCUCCCCUAAGAAGAGUGCUUAUCAGGGCACGUUCAUCCAAGAGAACUGAGGAAUGAGGAACAAAGAAAACAAGUUAACAUUUACCACGGCUUCCGCUACGCGCUUUACAUGAAUCAUUUUUGUUUCUUGCCAGAACCUAUGAGAUAACGUGCAGUUGCCAUAAGCACGGGAUGAUGGGCGGAAGCAGUUGCCAUAAGCACGGGAUGAUGGGCGGACCCACAGGCAGCAGUAAAGUUAUGUGCAGGGUGAAGGAUGAGGACUGAGGGGACUCGAGCAGGCAGAGGGCGCAGAGGUAAGGAGAGGGAAGCCCAUAGACUGGAGGUUACCCAGAACGGCAGCCACCCUCAUCUCACAACCCCAACCCGAUUCCCUGGAUUUCUGGGAAGCUUAAGCCUGUGCCUUUCACUCAGCAUUGUCAAGAUACCAUUGUGGAGCUGGGUUCAUUCUACAAACCUCACUGGGUGCCUACUGUGUGUCUGACAAUGCUGGGCACUUGGAGGACACAGUGGGUGGGUCAAGGAAUCUAGUGGGGGCAAAAGACAAGUAGCUGAACAAUGACCAGACAGGAGGCAAGGCUGCUGGGGCAGAUAAGGCCUAAAACAGCCCCAAACCCAAGAUCAGCUGUGACGUGAAGGAAGCAUGACAGUAAACAAGGCCAGUGGUGGAGGUGGGAGUGGUGGUCGGAGAAAGAGGUGAUGGUACUCCAGGCAGAGUGAACAGCAUGUGCAAAGGCUCAGAGGCAAGAAGCAGCAUGAAGCAUGCUUGAGACUUCAGGUCGUGUCCUUGGAGGUGAGAAGGGGAGGACACACAGUGGAGAGGGUUGCUCCUGGAAUCCCUAGGUGGCAAGCCUGUCUCCUCUGCGUCUUUCUUUUCACAUCCCCUUGGAUGGCUUGCUCGCUCAAUAAACAGUGCUGCCCAUUCUAUAAUCCAGGUGCACGGUCGCUGAGCAUCAGGAGUGCAUUCUGAUCUCGGCCCCACCCGGCAGCUGCUGAGAGAAACCCUUCCACACACACCACUCCCCUCUAGCCCAGCAGCCACAGUAUUUCCUCUUGGAAAGAGCCAGGCUAUUGUUGGGUGUGCCCAACAUCUCCUGCUGCCAUAGUGAGGGCUGGCCAGGUGUGGGGCGAGCAUGAGGGAAAUUAGAGGCCCUCCCUGAUUGUCACUUUCCCUUGGAUGGUUCCUAAACAUAAGAGGUCCAAAGUUCAAGGCCGGGCCUCAUCUAUCCUGCACCAGACCCUGGGACUGGAGCAGUGUGGGGAGGGGGAGUCUGCGGCUUAAGGACCACUCUUACCAGCAGCCAACAAGCAGGUCCCCGGGGAACAAGAGAAGGUGAACACCACUUCCCAGAGGACCCCUAGGAUGGGCUUGCUGAGCCAAGCUUUAUCUCUUGAGCUUUUCAGAGGUACGGGAGCAUCCCUCUCCACGCAUCCAAACCAUUCAGCCUUUUCCCAGGAAUGCCUUGAAUCGGAAGCAAAGGCUUUAUUCCACAAUUGGAGAGCGGGCAAAACACCAAUCCCACCUGAGGAGUCCCAGGUGUCCCCAAAGUCACACCAAGUGUGCAUGACUGACAGUAGAGCCUUUCUACAACCAGGUUUCUUUGGGAUAAAAGACAAAAAGGGAAGAAAAGUAACUGAGGCCUACUGGCAUCUACAGAGCACUCAAAGGCAUCCGAAUGCAUCCAAAAACUGUUAUAGCUUUGCUGAAACCACCAUUUUCUAAGGGAAAACUGCUGAAAGCAAAUCCUUAAUUCUCUCCAGAGGCAGAGGUACAGACAAUGGCAAAGAAGUGACCAGCCACUCCCAAAGAGAUCAGCCUUAGGGCGGAAUGUGUCAGUUCCCAGCCCCUAAACCCUCUGGCCUCACCCAGGAACCCCUGCUCUCACCCUGUCCAGAUCCCUCACUAAGGUCUCUCCCCUCAGCCUUCCACCGUCAAAAACAGGUAGGACCUCCGAUCAAACAGAUCUUUAACAGAUCAAAUCGUCCUUCCACACAUGUGGGGCCCGUGAGACCUCCGGGGGACUCGGUAUAUUAUCAGUCUUACCUCCCCAGCAGAAUGCAGAUGUUACCUGAAUAUUCACUGGAGGAGCAGUGAUAGGGAGGGAGGGGAAACGGAACCAGUCGGGUGCCAAGGCCUCUCCGAAGCCUGCGACUCCCGCUACAGACGUCAGGGGGCGCCAGAGGCCGGAGCACCGGGUCCCCGGUCCCGGAGCCCCAGUUUUCCCAGCCGAAACCGAGACUGAGACCACGCGUGCUGCCCCGAGGCGCGGGCUGAGGGGCCGCCGGGCUGGGAGCUUCAUGCUCGCCUCGGUUUACUGAGGUCAUCCAGCCCCAGUGGGCUGGCUGCCUUAAAAUAGCCUAGCUGCAAAGCCAUUAGGAAAGAAAACGUGUGUGUGAAUGUUUAUAUAUGUUUUUAUUUAUGUUUAUAUAUGUUUAUAUGUAUAUAAUUUAAACUUGUUUCUUCGAGUGCAUUAAAAAAAUGGGCUCUUUCUUUUCUCUGUGUUUUUUGUUUGUUUG